GCAGGAUCUCAACCAGCAGCACAGCUGUGGUGACAGGAGAACAGAGCAGAACGACACAGCAACACGAGACCCAAGACCUCCGGAGACGACAAGGAUGGCAGACAGUUCCAGUGCACUUCGGCACCAGUCUCCUAGUGAGAUGGUAGCAAACUGCAAUGACCUCAUCUACGACAAAUUUUGGACCUACAUUCAGGUUCUGAUGCUGUUCCUGGGACUAGCGGCUAACCUGCCGUUAGCUUGGCUCUUCAUUAAGGAGAGCAAAAAUCUGUCUCCCGCUAAGGUUGUAGGUGUGAACCUUCUGGUGAUGCAGCUCCUACACAUCGUUGUGGCGCCCGUGGGCAUCGCCAUUCGCGUUUUUACGUGGCGCAGAAGAACGACACGCUGAUAAACGAAAAUGUCACUUCUGAGACCCCGCGGUGGACAAAGGCCGUGGAGGAGGGGGCGUACAACCUGUUGAUGACGGGCUGCCCCAUGCUGCUGGCCGUCAUGUGCUUGGAGCGCUACGCGGCCGUGGCCCGGCCCCUGGUGUACCUGAGGGCCCGCAAGUGGGGGUACAAGAUCGCCAUCUCGGCCGCUGUCUGGACCGUCACGCUCAUCUUCGUCAUGACGACAGUCUUUAAGGGGUUACAAAACAUUGCCGUGCCCGUGUCCGUGCUCGUGUGCGUCCUCUUCGCGGUCAUGCUCUACUGCCUGGUGGGUCUGGCCUGGUCGCUGGGGCAACAGGGCCCCGCCCACUCCAGCGCCCUGCCGCAGAAGAGGCGGGCCCUGAAGAACGUCCUGCUGGUCAUCGUGCCGGCCGUCUUCGCCUACCUGCCCGUCUUCUUCCUGGCACCCUUGUUGACGUCCAGCAGGGUAGACCGUUUCUGGUGCAACAUGGUGGAGGUGCUCCUCGCCUGCCCGUCCAUCGGCGUCUUCAUCGGGCCCAUGUUCUACUGUGCCAAGUUCAAACAGGUGCUCUGCGGG
ensembl:lncRNA